AUUGAACGCUGGCGGCAGGCCUAACACAUGCAAGUCGAACGAGUGGCGGACGGGUGAGUAAUGUCUGGGAAACUGCCUGAUGGAGGGGGAUAACUACUGGAAACGGUAGCUAAUACCGCAUACCAUCGGAUGUGCCCAGAGGGGAUUAGCGAGGAGGUGGGGUAAAGGCUCCCCUAGGCGACGAUCCCUAGCUGGUCUGAGAGGAUGACCAGCCAAGCUGGAACUGAGACACGGUCCAGACUCCUACGGGGGGCAGCAGUGGGGAAGAUUGCACAUGGGGCGCAAGCCUGAUGCAGCCAUGCCGCGUGUAUGAAGAGGGCCUUCGGGUUGUAAAGUACUUUCAGCGGGGAGGCGUUACCCGCAGAAGAAGCACCGGCUAACUCCGUGCCAGCAGCCGCGUAAUUC
rnacentral:rRNA from 1 species